GGAAGCGGUGAGAGAGAGAGAGAGAUGAAGCUAGGGGAUUUAGGGUAGAUUCUGGAUUUUGGGGAUUUAGGGCUGAGUGGUGAGAGAGAGAGAUGAAGCCAGGGGAGCGGCGCUCAGGCGCGGCUUCGCCGGAGAGGGAACCGCGCGGCCGCAACCCUCGCUGCUGUCACCUUCGCCGGCAGUAGAUGAAGGCGGCGCGGCGUCUGGGUUCAAGAGUGCGUGAGAGUUUGAGAAGAGAGAGA
rnacentral:lncRNA from 1 species